AGAUUAGGUUUUGGGUUAGACUUUGCCCUCAGGCCAACCCAACCAGCCUGAAAUGUAGUCUUAUUGAAAGUUUCACUUGUGAGAAAGCACCAUAAAGAAUUGAAAGUUUUCAAGAUACCAAUGACCAGCGUUUUAACCUAAGCACCCUCACCUUGUUCUUGGUCUGCUUGGGAUUGAAGGGAGGAGCUAUGUCCUGCUUGAAAGAGUGGUUCUCAUGGGAGCUCAAAUGGUGUGUGUGUGGUGUAUCCACACGUUCUCUCAUGUAACAACCUUUAAUAUUUACAACGUUGGCAAGGAAAUAUGAACCAUAAUAAAAGAUGUAACAACUCAUGCCGCAUUUCCAUUUUGCCCUCAUGCACUACCAUUCCUGCCACAUUUUAUUGAAAGGGCAAAAACAACAGCGAGAGAGAGAACGUACGUGGGCUUCAUAUUUAAAAUAAAUAUAUAAUUUUAUUUU
rnacentral:lncRNA from 1 species